rnacentral:rRNA from 1 species
UACGGGGGGGGCAAGCGUUGUUCGGAAUUACUGGGCGUAAAGGGCUCGUAGGCGGCCAACUAAGUCAGACGUGAAAUCCCUCGGCUUAACCGGGGAACUGCGUCUGAUACUGGAUGGCUUGAAUCCGGGAGAGGGAUGCGGAAUUCCAGGUGUAGCGGUGAAAUGCGUAGAGAUGUGGAGGAACACCGAUGGCGAAGGCAGCCCCCUGGGUCAAGAUUGACGCUCAUGCACGAAAGCGUGGGGAGCAAACAGG